rnacentral:lncRNA from 1 species
GAUUGCAAGAAGAUCCUACAGCGAUCGGAGGAAAUCUUUAGACACUAUGGAUUUGUAAAUCCGGACACCUAUUCUUUCCUUAAACCAUACGUUCAUCCCCUUUCUACUCCCACUGAUAGUUGUCUUAGUAACUCCAUGCUUAUGUUUCAUAUGACAUAACAGCAAAGUAACUUGCCAAUUCUGCAAUCCACGCAAUUAAUAUUACUUGUUGGUGCUUCU